GGCGAAUUGACUAGUGAUUCAGGCCUAACACAUGCAAGUCGAGCGGUAGAGAGAAGCUUGCUUCUCUUAAAAAAGGCGGACGGGUGAGUAAUGCCUAGGAAUCUGCCUGGUAGUGGGGGAUAACGUUCGGAAACGGACGCUAAUACCGCAUACGUCCUACGGGAGAAAGCAGGGGACCUUCGGGCCUUGCGCUAUCAGAUGAGCCUAGGUCGGAUUAGCUAGUUGGUGAGGUAAUGGCUCACCAAGGCUACGAUCCGUAACUGGUCUGAGAGGAUGAUCAGUCACACUGGAAGGGAGACACGGUCCAGACUCCUACGGGAGGCAGCAGUGGGGAAUAUUGGACAAUGGGCGAAAG
rnacentral:rRNA from 1 species